UUAAGGAAUUAAAAGAAAAUGAAAGGAAAAAAGAAAAGAGUGAAAUUGGGCCAAAUCGAAACUGGGCCAAUUUCAAUGCAAAAUCAGGCCCAAAUCAUAUCAAACGAUCCAAUCCAAUAGGCCUGGUCUCUCAGACAGUCCAAACGACGCCGUUUCGGCGCCUCAGAUCUAAGCCGUUGAUUUGUUUCCAUCAGACGACUCAUUUCAACCCAGCAUUAUUUGAAACGACGCCGUUUUAGGCAAGUUGAUCCUAGCCGUCCGUUCCCAAUGUUCUAACGGUCCCAGCCUUCCCCCAUAACCCGGUCCAUUUCAACCCGGGUCGACCCAGUCUCGAUGCAUGACCAAAUGUCACCGUUUCCUUUAAGUGAAUUGAUCCAGGCCAUUGAUCGUGCUUGAUCCAACGGCCAAGAUUAAACCACCCCCUCUGUAUAUAACCCUAAUCCCUUACCCCACGCCCCAAACCAAACCCCCCCUCACCCCAUCGUCUCCCUCAAGCUCAGAGACGGACCAGACCCAAACCCUAGCCUCCAUUGUUACACCUCCGUUUGAAACCCGGCGGCAACAACGCCGCCGGUCACCAAAUUAACACCCCUAAUCUAUCUGACCACCCUUGUUACAAAUCUGCUAACCGUUUGCCUCGAAUCAACCUCCAGCUUCUCGAAUCUUCAAUCGAAGAUUCGAGCAGAACCUAAACCUACGCCAACCAGUCCCAAACGCAUACCGGAUAUCUCUCUGACCUCCCUCAUCACCAAACUACCAUUGGUUUGGUUCGAAUCAGACCAGAACCGUUUAAACCCCAAAUCGAACCCCCAAGAACCCUAGAAAACCAAAGGUUGAAAUCUAUCCAAAUUAAAGGAAGUUAGGUGGACCUUAGUCGAAGUGUUCUCAGUUGAGAAUACUCGAUUAAGGUCCGUUCGACCUCAAUUAAAGGUCCGAGUCAGAGUCCAAGUCAGGGUCGUCCAGCUUCUGAGUUCGGAGGUACACUACUUUGAAUCAUCUUGGUGUAUGCUCAUUGAAGCCGAAAUGAAAUGGCCAGAGGAUUUAUUGUUCAAACUAUAGAAUGCUUGUAUUCUAUUUGAUAUUAGUUAUGUGUUUCCUAUUACAUGAAUAAUAAACGACUGUAUAAUUCGGACUAUUUAUAAGUUAUUUGGGCUGUUUGAUUUAGGGACUAUUUGGACUUUGGAAUGUGAUUAUGUAAUAGUCAUAUGGGUUUAGUUUUGUUUUUGCA